GCACCACAAGAACGCGUGGAGCAUGUGGCUUAAUUUGACUCAACGCGGGAAAUCUUACCGGGUCCGGACACACUGAGGAUUGACAGGCAAUAUCUCAUGGUUAUUAACCCGGUUAUUACAUUUUGUUUAAUCGGUUAUUAAGCAUCGAGUGUUAAAUAUGCUAGUCCUUUCAUGAUUAUGUGAUAGGUGGUGCAUGGCCGUUCUUAGUUCGUGGAGUGAUCUGUCUGCUUAAUUGCGUUUCACUAAGGGCCCAUAAAUUCAAGGUAUGUUAGCUAUCGUCGCUCUAUGGACCCCUUAUACUCGAUUUCGCUUUAAUUAGCGUUAUUUGUUUAAUAAGCGCGCGUCUUUAUUUAAUGAGUUUAAGACACUGCGCAUGCUGUUGGGCUCUGAAAGCAACGAACGUGACCGCAACGUCUUGUUGCCUUAAUAAAGUUGGCUUUUAAUACAAAUUCGUAUUUAAACCGCUUACAGAGGCUAUUUAAAACUAGACGGACCGCUGUUUCUUUUCUUAAACCAGAGGAAGGUUGCGGCAAUAACAGGU
rnacentral:rRNA from 1 species